rnacentral:lncRNA from 1 species
AAAAACACGGUGAAAGAUCAGGUGCUCUCCUCCCAAAAAUACAGUUUCCUCUCCUCCCAAAAUUAUAGUUUUCUCUCCUCACAAAUAUUGAGUUUCUGGUUAACAUUUCCAGUGAUUAUCAAAUUCAAGUUGUUCUGUCAUCUCUGACAUGAUUCAUGUUAGAGAAGAACCUGUUGUAUCCUGUGAGGAUAUGCGUUUAUGAGGCUGAUAAAUUUUUAAGGACAGUGACUUCAUCACGUCUCAGGUUAUUUAAUGUUUACUGUUUUGCAGGUUAUUGCAUUUUAUGGUUUCGUGUUUGUUCACUUUAAUUUUGCCGACUUCAAAAGUUUACUCUAUCUCUCUCCUCUAUUCUCGUUUAUGUGUAUGAUGAUUAUUAUUUAGAGAUAGUUAUUAUCACUAAUUUUUACAACAGAUCAAUCCAGUAUAAAUAUUUUUUUUCUAAUAUUUAUGCAUAUGUAUAGACUUAAUAUGACAUAUCCAUGACCUAUAAGAUGUGGUGAUCAGUCUACAUAUAUAAUAGUCUCUACGCUUUAUUAUUAUCCCAAUUUAUAUAUUAAAGCUUGACUACAAAUAUAUUUAAGAAUAACGUUUUUUAUGUUAAUGUAAUCUCAUGAUUAAGUCCCACUUAAUAUUCCAUUACAUGAACAUCUAUUUUAUGGACUUUAUUAAUUUUACAACAAUUAUAAUAAAGAAUGUCGUAUAUUAUUUAAUAUUAAAACUCACGAUACAUAGAAUAAAUUUAACAUAAACUAUUAGCCUUCAAGGCUUACACCAUCAUCUUCUCCAAGUUUGUCCCGCUUGAGUGUAACGAGGUAAGUUAGUCAAUGUUGUAGAUGUGAUGAAUGACGAUCUGAGCACAACUCCGGAAAGGUAUGUUAUUCUUGAAAAAAUGCAAAGAAUAAAAUAUGUUUUUCUUUCGUUACUUGAGGACAAGCAACAGUUUAUGUUUGGGGUUGUGAUGACAGGUCACCUUACAUUAUUCUUACAAUAUUUUCCAGUCAUUUUCAAUAGAUUUCACCAGUAAAACGGAGGAGUAUUAAAUAAAUUGCAUGUGAUUUCAGGACAUUUGUAAUGUUUUCUAUAUUUGAUCUUUAAUUUUGUUCUUCCCAAAAUAUAGUAAUUUUAGGAUGUUUUGGAUGUAAUUCACGAAGAAAUCAUGUAAAUCGGCAAAGCAAGACAACCGAAGAUUUAUUUGGUCCUUGGGAAGAUGAAGAAUGAAGAUUCAAGAGGCCUCAGAAGACUUUACAAAGGGAGGAAUUUUGUUCCUAAGUUCCAAGACAUCUUACAUAGAGGCAAACACCUAAAAAGGCGAAGAAAACAUGCAUUUUAGCAUAGAAUGCACUCACAAGCGCCCAGGCGCCUAGAGUUGGCAGGAAAGCGCCCAAGCGCAUGGAAUGGGGUGCCAGGCGCCUAACAUGGUAGGCACAUGUGCCUGGCGCAUGAUUGUAGGUGCUAGGUGGUUGUUGCUUGCGAGAAAAUACACUGUUUUGUAACUUUUUGUGGAAGAAAGCCCGCGUUUUUAGCCCAAGUUCAGGUGUAAACUUUCCCUAUAAAUACCGGCUUAAUCAUUCAUUAUUUCUCGUUCAUAAUUGGAGCAGUUCAAGUGGAAGGCAGAGGAGCUUUCAGGAGGAGUUAUUCUCUGAUCUCUCCAAAUUUUUGUUGGAGCGUUGCCGAAGACCGUGAAGGGAAGUGAUUCUAUUUGGGUGAUUGUUGAUUGGUUAACAAAGUCAGCGCAUAUUAUUCCUAUCAAGACCGGUAUGUUUGUGGCGAGGUUGGCGGAGAUCUACAUUGAGCAUGUUGUCAAAUUACAUGGUAUUCCAUCCAACAUCGUGUAAGAUAGAGAUCUGAGGUUUACUUCUAUGUUUCGGAAAAGUUUUCAAGCGGCUUUGGAAACUAAGUUGAGAUUGAGUUUUGCUUAUCAGCCUCAGAUCGAUGGUCAGACGAAGAGGACUAUUCAAUCCUUGGAAGAUUUGUUGAAAGCUUAUGUUUUGGAAUAAGAUGUAAGUUGGGUUAAGUGUUUGCCGCUGAUUGAGUUUACCUAAAACAACAAUUUUCAUUCUAGUAUUGGUAUGACAUCGUUUGAGGCAUUAUGUGGAAGGAGGUGUACGACGUCGUGUAACACCCCGUUUUCCCAACUUAUAGAUUUCACAUAAAAAUCAGAAUAAUUCAACAUAAACGGAAUGUCACACUUCUUUUCAUAAAAUCAUAAACGGAAUAUAUUCACUAUUUAUUGUCCAACUCAAACGGAAAUUAUUUCAACGUUUAAAACAACCUUGGUACAAAGGUCUCAAUGUAAAAUCUCAUAAUAUUAUUCCAACAAGAUGUUCAUAAAACUUCAUAAAAUAAUAUGUAAGGAACAGAAAGCAACAACAAAAUUCUCAUCCCGUUACGUAUCAGAGCACCUAAGACACACGUGAGAGAAUCCACUCACGACCGCAACUAUUCUUGGUUACCUGCAAGUUAUCCACGUAGAGGCAACAUUUCCAACAAGAAGGGGUAAGAUUUCACAAACAAUAAUAAUCAGCAUAUAACUCAUCAAAUGCAUUUAACAACAUAGACAUCAUCAAUUGAUCAUAAAAAUCUUCAUAUAAUACCUCAUUAAAAACUCAUGGAUAGACGACAACUUAUCAACAACGACAAUGCAACAUCUAAGACCUCAACUCUGUUGAGACAAAAUCCUUAUUCCAUGUUUUAAUGAUUAC